UGUGUGCGUCAUAAAAAAUAUGCAGAACCUGUACCACCCGAACGGCAACCAUGUUGAACUUGGCCAAAACAAAAACGCGAGUGAUUUAUUUUCUCAAUUUAUAAGUCCGUUUCUUUCUUAUUUUAUUGGUUUAUUGUUGAGCCUGAGUGAUUAAGUGAUCAAAUUAAAUUUCUAUAGGAAAAACCGAAAAUGAUAGAUGAGCAGCAGUCUAUUAUGUUUGCUAAUGAUCAUCACAGACAAAAUUCAAUUCCUAGAGAAAAACAGUACUCUCGUCAGUCAGGCUGAGUAGAAGAAAUGCUUCGGUCCAAAAAUGGAGUUGUAUCUCAGAAACUUCCUGUUCAAUAACUUAAAAAAUGGUUGAAUAAAAACAGAAUUUCAAUUAAAGGCAUGCUUUUAUUUCGACGGAAAAUCCUAUAAUGCCUCGUUCACACUAACAGUAAAGGUUACAGUACGACGAAAUUUAUGUAUUUUAUGGUCAUACUGUACAUGCAUCAUUUCCCAUACAAUUGUUUGCUUGGAACAAGGACUAUAAAACACCUUCAAGACAUGAUGUACGCCGAAAAAUAUGUACUGAGAAAUUCCA